rnacentral:rRNA from 1 species
AGUGAACGCUGGCGGUAGGCCUAACACAUGCAAGUCGAACGGCAGCACAGGAGAGCUUGCUCUCUGGGUGGCGAGUGGCGGACGGGUGAGGAAUACAUCGGAAUCUACUUUUUCGUGGGGGAUAACGUAGGGAAACUUACGCUAAUACCGCAUACGACCUACGGGUGAAAGCAGGGGAUCUUCGGACCUUGCGCGAUUGAAUGAGCCGAUGUCGGAUUAGCUAGUUGGCGGGGUAAAGGCCCACCAAGGCGACGAUCCGUAGCUGGUCUGAGAGGAUGAUCAGCCACACUGGAACGGAGACACGGUCCAGACUCUUACGGGAGGCAGCAGUGGGGAAUAUUGGACAAUGGGCGCAAGCCUGAUCCAGCCAUACCGCGUGGGUGAAGAAGGCCUUCGGGUUGUAAAGCCCUUUUGUUGGGAAAGAAAUCCAGCUGGUUAAUACCCGGUUGGGAUGACGGUGCCCAAAGAAUAAGCACCGGCUAACUUCGUGCCAGCAGCCGCCGCCG